UUUCUCAAAUUAUUUGCAAUCCUUUUUCGUUAGUGAAAACUAAACAUUGUGAAGUUUAUUUAAUCGUUGAUAAAAAGAUAAAUGUGAAAUGUGUAAGUGAUUGAUCGAAGAAGUUAAUUGGAAUGAAUUUGUGAUCAUGAUGUUAUCUCCAACAAGUUUGCUACGAAAAAAUAUAUCCAAAAAAAAAAGACGAAGAGGAGAAAAAUGAAGAAAAAGAAACGUCGCGCAAGCUAAUUUUAGUGGAUGUGUUUCCACGAUGGUACACAGGAACGCCCUCAGAGAAUAAAUGAAAGAGCAGAAAUGGAUUACUCUCUUGGAUGUAAUUGAUCACGAAGACAAUGGAUUCCUCUAUUUGUGACAACAUCGUCCAUCUCAGGUUUGGGUAUCGACGGCAGGUGAAAGCAAGGCAGAAUAUACAUUCCUCCACGGUGUCCAGUGGUACUUUUUCCGUGUAAUUACUUUAAUAAUUCGUAUCGACUUCCACUGGGAACUCCUUUCGCUGGACACGCAAGUUGGCUCGUUUCUUGGUCUCUAUAUUUGCUAGGUAUACACAACUAUCGAUUGAACGUGGAAUUUAGGACAACUUCGUUUACUUUUCCUUACGUAAUUAAUUUAUUUUUACGUAUUAAUAUAUUUGAAAUUGGAAAUAUUGUUUUAAUCUUAAUUAUAAGUUUAUUUUAGCGGAUAUAUUUGUUGGAAAGUCGCAUUUAUAAUUAUGUAUAAUCUUGUGUGAUGGUACGUUAAUAAAGAGAAUUUUAUUUA